rnacentral:snRNA from 1 species
ACACUUUCUUUGCCCUUGUGACUCAGAUAAAAUGUAGUAUCUGCUCUUUUUACUCAAAUUUCUGAAAACUUUUCUAAGAAACGAGAUAUUAAUCUAGUAUUUGGGCUCUGUGGAACGGCCUCGGUGCUUAUACAUGUCCUACCAUAUAGUGUCAUCGGGCUUACACAACCCCAAGAGAUGCGAAGACCC